rnacentral:ncRNA from 1 species
UUCACGGAGAGUUUGAUCCUGGCUCAGGACUAACGCUGGCGGCGUGCUUAACACAUGCAAGUCGAACGAUGAACCACUUCGGUGGGGAUUAGUGGCGAACGGGUGAGUAACACGUGGGCAA